CUGCGGAAGGAUCAUUUG
rnacentral:rRNA from 1 species